UACGUAGGGUGCAAGCGUUGUCCGGAAUUAUUGGGCGUAAAGAGCUCGUAGGCGGUCUGUCACGUCGGCUGUGAAAACCUGGGGCUCAACCCCGGGCCUGCAGCCGAUACGGGCGGACUAGAAUUCGGUAGGGGAGACUGGAAUUCCUGGUGUAGCGGUGAAAUGCGCAGAUAUCAGGAGGAACACCGGUGGCGAAGGCGGGUCUCUGGGCCGAUAUUGACGCUGAGGAGCGAAAGCGUGGGGAGCGAACAGG
rnacentral:rRNA from 1 species